rnacentral:rRNA from 1 species
UACGAAGGGGGCUAGCGUUGCUCGGAAUGACUGGGCGUAAAGGGCGUGUAGGCGGUUUGUACAGUCAGAUGUGAAAUCCCCGGGCUUAACCUGGGAGCUGCAUUUGAGACGUGCAGACUAGAGUGUGAGAGAGGGUUGUGGAAUUCCCAGUGUAGAGGUGAAAUUCGUAGAUAUUGGGAAGAACACCGGUGGCGAAGGCGGCAACCUGGCUCAUUACUGACGCUGAGGCGCGAAAGCGUGGGGAGCAAACAGG